rnacentral:rRNA from 1 species
GUCGAGCGGACUUGAUGGAGCUUGCUCCAUCAAGUUAGCGGCGGACGGGUGAGUAACACGUGGGCAACCUGCCUGUAAGACUGGGAUAACUCCGGGAAACCGGAGCUAAUACCGGAUAGUAUCUUGAACCGCAUGGUUCAAGUUGGAAAGACGGUUUCGGCUGUCACUUACAGAUGGGCCCGCGGCGCAUUAGCUAGUUGGUGAGGUAAUGGCUCACCAAGGCAACGAUGCGUAGCCGACCUGAGAGGGUGAUCGGCCACACUGGGACUGAGACACGGCCCAGACUCCUACGGGAGGCAGCAGUAGGGAAUCUUCCGCAAUGGACGAAAGUCUGACGGAGCAACGCCGCGUGAGUGAUGAAGGUUUUCGGAUCGUAAAACUCUGUUGUUAGGGAAGAACAAGUGCGAGAGUAACUGCUCGCACCUUGACGGUACCUAACCAGAAAGCCACGGCUAACUACGUGCCAGCAGCCGCGGUAAUACGUAGGUGGCAAGCGUUGUCCGGAAUUAUUGGGCGUAAAGCGCGCGCAGGCGGUUUCUUAAGUCUGAUGUGAAAGCCCCCGGCUCAACCGGGGAGGGUCAUUGGAAACUGGGAAACUUGAGUGCAGAAGAGGAGAGUGGAAUUCCACGUGUAGCGGUGAAAUGCGUAGAGAUGUGGAGGAACACCAGUGGCGAAGGCGACUCUCUGGUCUGUAACUGACGCUGAGGCGCGAAAGCGUGGGGAGCGAACAGGAUUAGAUACCCUGGUAGUCCACGCCGUAAACGAUGAGUGCUAAGUGUUAGAGGGUUUCCGCCCUUUAGUGCUGCAGCUAACGCAUUAAGCACUCCGCCUGGGGAGUACGGUCGCAAGACUGAAACUCAAAGGAAUUGACGGGGGCCCGCACAAGCGGUGGAAGCAUGUGGUUUAAUUCAAAGCAACGCGAAGAACCUUACCAGGUCUUGACAUCCU